rnacentral:rRNA from 1 species
GAGUAACACGUGAGCAAUCUGCCUUUCAGAGGGGGAUACCGAUUGGAAACGAUCGUUAAUACCGCAUAAUAUAAUUGAACCGCAUGAUUUGAUUAUCAAAGAUUUAUCGCUGAAAGAUGAGCUCGCGUCUGAUUAGCUAGUUGGUAAGGUAACGGCUUACCAAGGCGACGAUCAGUAGCCGGACUGAGAGGUUGAUCGGCCACAUUGGGACUGAGACACGGCCCAGACUCCUACGGGAGGCAGCAGUGGGGAAUAUUGCACAAUGGAGGAAACUCUGAUGCAGCGAUGCCGCGUGAGGGAAGAAGGUUUUAGGAUUGUAAACCUCUGUCUUCAGGGACGAAAAAUGACGGUACCUGAGGAGGAAGCUCCGGCUAACUACGUGCCAGCAGCCGCGGUAAUACGUAGGGAGCGAGCGUUGUCCGGAAUUACUGGGUGUAAAGGGAGCGUAGGCGGGAUCGCAAGUCAGAUGUGAAAACUAUGGGCUUAACCCAUAAACUGCAUUUGAAACUGUGGUUCUUGAGUGAAGUAGAGGUAAGCGGAAUUCCUAGUGUAGCGGUGAAAUGCGUAGAUAUUAGGAGGAACAUCAGUGGCGAAGGCGGCUUACUGGGCUUUAACUGACGCUGAGGC